UCGUGCUAGGUGGGGAGGUAGCGGUGCCUUGAACUCGAAAUCCGCUCUAGCGAGACUGAAUCCCUCAUGGAGGUUAAUAUUAUAUUUCCUCUAAUUAUUAAUAAUGAUAUUGAUAGUUGGGUUCUAUGCAUCAAAACUUUGCUAAUCCCGUCAGGUCCGGAAGGAAGCAGCGGUAACCAUUGUAUUUUGAGUGACAUAGAGUUGCCUUUCUAGAGUUAUUAUUAAUAUUUUAUGUGAUAAAUAUUUAUCGAAUUGUAGGUGCACGA
rnacentral:SRP_RNA from 1 species